rnacentral:rRNA from 1 species
AUUGAACGCUGGCGGCAUGCCUAACAUAUGCAAGUCGCACGCGAAAGGGGGCAACCCUGAGUAGAGUGGCGGACGGGUGAGUAACGCGUAGGAAUCUACCUGGUAGUGGGGGACAACCCGGUGAAAACCGGGCUAAUACCGCAUACGAUCCACGGAUGAAAGCAGGGGACCGCAAGGCCUUGCGCUAUCAGAUGAGCCUGCGUCGGAUUAGCUAGUUGGUGGGGUAAAGGCCCACCAAGGCGACGAUCCGUAGCUGGUUUGAGAGAACGACCAGCCACACUGGGACUGAGAAACGGCCCAGACUCCUACGGGAGGAAGCAGUGGGGAAUAUUGGACAAUGGGGGGAACCCUAAUCCAGCAAUGCCGCGUGUGUGAAGAAGGCCUUCGGGUUGUAAAGCACUUUCGGUGGGGACAAACAAGGUGGAGCUAACAUCUCCGCCUCUGAUGGUACCCAAAGAAGAAGCACCGGCUAACUCUGUGCCAGCCGCCGCCGUAA